AAAGCGUAUGUGUCUGUUUAAGUGAACUCAAGAAUUUUAAUCCUUUUAAUGAAUUGGCGGGCUUGAACAAAACAGAUAUAUCUGGAUCUGUAAGUGAAGCAAGAAUAUUAACCAGUGAGAUGAAAUGCCGGGAUGGAAAACCCCUCUUCACUCUGAGACUAUUGAUGUGACAUUUUCUGUAUAUGGAAGGGACUGUUCUUAGAAUCCAUGUUUUCCCACACAUAUAAAUGUGUGGGAAAACAUGGAUUCUAAGAACAGAUAAACAACAGAAAAAGUGAUAAGUGAUUCAAAUAUGACCUUUCAAAACUGUACAAUUAGAACUUGAAGACUCUUAUAUCAAAGCGAUAUUUAGUAGUGGACAUAGUGUUGUGGAAUGUACUUGAGAAACCUGGAACUUUCUACCUCUUCCUUCUUUUAGUUAUAUUCCAUGGAAUACUUUAAUGAAAGUGGAAGUGGCAAGGAAUAUAUUUUGAUACAUUUUAGGAGGAAAAAACCGAAGUAUUUACCAAA